UACGGAGGGUGCAAGCGUUAAUCGGAAUUACUGGGCGUAAAGCGUGCGUAGGUGGUUCGUUAAGUCCGUUGUGAAAGCCCCGAGCUCAACUUGGGAAUUGCAGUGGAUACUGGCGAGCUGGAGUGCGGUAGAGGAAGGUGGAAUUCCCGGUGUAGCGGUGAAAUGCGUAGAGAUCGGGAGGAACACCAGUGGCGAAGGCAGCCCCCCUGGGCUAACACUGACGCUCAUGCACGAAAGCGUGGGGGAGCAAACAGG
rnacentral:rRNA from 1 species